rnacentral:tRNA from 1 species
GGUGGCUCAGCGGUAGAGUGCUUGUCUUGCAUGCAUGAGGCUCUGGGUUCGAUUCCUCAGCACCA